AGCGUACACGGUGGAUGCCCUGGCAGUCAGAGGCGAUGAAGGACGUGCUAAUCUGCGAUAAGCGUCGGUGAGGUGAUAUGAACCGUUAUAACCGGCGAUUUCCGAAUGGGGAAACCCAGUGUGUUUCGACACACUAUCAUUAACUGAAUCCAUAGGUUAAUGAGGCGAACCGGGGGAACUGAAACAUCUAAGUACCCCGAGGAAAAGAAAUCAACCGAGAUUCCCCCAGUAGCGGCGAGCGAACGGGGAGGAGCCCAGAGCCUGAAUCAGUGUGUGUGUUAGUGGAAGCGUCUGGAAAGGCGUGCGAUACAGGGUGACAGCCCCGUACACAAAAAUGCACAUAUUGUGAGCUCGAUGAGUAGGGCGGGACACGUGGUAUCCUGUCUGAAUAUGGGGGGACCAUCCUCCAAGGCUAAAUACUCCUGACUGACCGAUAGUGAACCAGUACCGUGAGGGAAAGGCGAAAAGAACCCCGGCGAGGGGAGUGAAAAAGAACCUGAAACCGUGUACGUACAAGCAGUGGGAGCCUCUUAAUGGGGUGACUGCGUACCUUUUGUAUAAUGGGUCAGCGACUUAUAUUCUGUAGCAAGGUUAACCGAAUAGGGGAGCCGAAGGGAAACCGAGUCUUAACUGGGCGUUAAGUUGCAGGGUAUAGACCCGAAACCCGGUGAUCUAGCCAUGGGCAGGUUGAAGGUUGGGUAACACUAACUGGAGGACCGAACCGACUAAUGUUGAAAAAUUAGCGGAUGACUUGUGGCUGGGGGUGAAAGGCCAAUCAAACCGGGAGAUAGCUGGUUCUCCCCGAAAGCUAUUUAGGUAGCGCCUCGUGAAUUCAUCUCCGGGGGUAGAGCACUGUUUCGGCAAGGGGGUCAUCCCGACUUACCAACCCGAUGCAAACUGCGAAUACCGGAGAAUGUUAUCACGGGAGACACACGGCGGGUGCUAACGUCCGUCGUGAAGAGGGAAACAACCCAGACCGCCAGCUAAGGUCCCAAAGUCAUGGUUAAGUGGGAAACGAUGUGGGAAGGCCCAGACAGCCAGGAUGUUGGCUUAGAAGCAGCCAUCAUUUAAAGAAAGCGUAAUAGCUCACUGGUCGAGUCGGCCUGCGCGGAAGAUGUAACGGGGCUAAACCAUGCACCGAAGCUGCGGCAGCGACACUAUGUGUUGUUGGGUAGGGGAGCGUUCUGUAAGCCUGUGAAGGUGGCCUGUGAGGGUUGCUGGAGGUAUCAGAAGUGCGAAUGCUGACAUAAGUAACGAUAAAGCGGGUGAAAAGCCCGCUCGCCGGAAGACCAAGGGUUCCUGUCCAACGUUAAUCGGGGCAGGGUGAGUCGACCCCUAAGGCGAGGCCGAAAGGCGUAGUCGAUGGGAAACAGGUUAAUAUUCCUGUACUUGGUGUUACUGCGAAGGGGGGACGGAGAAGGCUAUGUUGGCCGGGCGACGGUUGUCCCGGUUUAAGCGUGUAGGCUGGUUUUCCAGGCAAAUCCGGAAAACCAAGGCUGAGGCGUGAUGACGAGGCACUACGGUGCUGAAGCGACAAAUGCCCUGCUUCCAGGAAAAGCCUCUAAGCAUCAGGUAACAUCAAAUCGUACCCCAAACCGACACAGGUGGUCAGGUAGAGAAUACCAAGGCGCUUGAGAGAACUCGGGUGAAGGAACUAGGCAAAAUGGUGCCGUAACUUCGGGAGAAGGCACGCUGAUAUGUAGGUGAAGCGACUUGCUCGUGGAGCUGAAAUCAGUCGAAGAUACCAGCUGGCUGCAACUGUUUAUUAAAAACACAGCACUGUGCAAACACGAAAGUGGACGUAUACGGUGUGACGCCUGCCCGGUGCCGGAAGGUUAAUUGAUGGGGUUAGCGGCAACGCGAAGCUCUUGAUCGAAGCCCCGGUAAACGGCGGCCGUAACUAUAACGGUCCUAAGGUAGCGAAAUUCCUUGUCGGGUAAGUUCCGACCUGCACGAAUGGCGUAAUGAUGGCCAGGCUGUCUCCACCCGAGACUCAGUGAAAUUGAACUCGCUGUGAAGAUGCAGUGUACCCGCGGCAAGACGGAAAGACCCCGUGAACCUUUACUAUAGCUUGACACUGAACAUUGAGCCUUGAUGUGUAGGAUAGGUGGGAGGCUUUGAAGUGUGGACGCCAGUCUGCAUGGAGCCGACCUUGAAAUACCACCCUUUAAUGUUUGAUGUUCUAACGUUGGCCCGUAAUCCGGGUUGCGGACAGUGUCUGGUGGGUAGUUUGACUGGGGCGGUCUCCUCCUAAAGAGUAACGGAGGAGCACGAAGGUUGGCUAAUCCUGGUCGGACAUCAGGAGGUUAGUGCAAUGGCAUAAGCCAGCUUGACUGCGAGCGUGACGGCGCGAGCAGGUGCGAAAGCAGGUCAUAGUGAUCCGGUGGUUCUGAAUGGAAGGGCCAUCGCUCAACGGAUAAAAGGUACUCCGGGGAUAACAGGCUGAUACCGCCCAAGAGUUCAUAUCGACGGCGGUGUUUGGCACCUCGAUGUCGGCUCAUCACAUCCUGGGGCUGAAGUAGGUCCCAAGGGUAUGGCUGUUCGCCAUUUAAAGUGGUACGCGAGCUGGGUUUAGAACGUCGUGAGACAGUUCGGUCCCUAUCUGCCGUGGGCGCUGGAGAACUGAGGGGGGCUGCUCCUAGUACGAGAGGACCGGAGUGGACGCAUCACUGGUGUUCGGGUUGUCAUGCCAAUGGCACUGCCCGGUAGCUAAAUGCGGAAGAGAUAAGUGCUGAAAGCAUCUAAGCACGAAACUUGCCCCGAGAUGAGUUCU
rnacentral:rRNA from 9 species